CCUACGGGAGGCAGCAGUGGGGAAUAUUGGACAAUGGGGGGAACCCUGAUCCAGCCAUGCCGCGUGUGUGAAGAAGGCCCUCGGGUUGUAAAGCACUUUCAGUGAGGAAGAACGCCUGGUGGUUAAUACCCAUCAGGAAAGACAUCACUCACAGAAGAAGCACCGGCUAACUCCGUGCCAGCAGCCGCGGUAAUACGGAGGGUGCGAGCGUUAAUCGGAAUUACUGGGCGUAAAGCGCGCGUAGGUGGCUUGAUAAGCCGGUUGUGAAAGCCCCGGGCUCAACCUGGGAACGGCAUCCGGAACUGUCAAGCUAGAGUGCAGGAGAGGAAGGUAGAAUUCCCGGUGUAGCGGUGAAAUGCGUAGAGAUCGGGAGGAAUACCAGUGGCGAAGGCGGCCUUCUGGACUGACACUGACACUGAGGUGCGAAAGCGUGGGUAGCGAACAGGAUUAGAUACCCCGGUAGUC
rnacentral:rRNA from 1 species